GACGAACGCUGGCGGCGCGCCUAACACAUGCAAGUCGAACGAGCGAGAGAGAGCUUGCUUUCUCGAGCGAGUGGCGAACGGGUGAGUAACGCGUGAGGAACCUGCCUCAAAGAGGGGGACAACAGUUGGAAACGACUGCUAAUACCGCAUAAGCCCACGACCCGGCAUCGGGUUGAGGGAAAAGGAGCAAUCCGCUUUGAGAUGGCCUCGCGUCCGAUUAGCUAGUUGGUGAGGUAAUGGCCCACCAAGGCGACGAUUGGUAGCCGGACUGAGAGGUUGAACGGCCACAUUGGGACUGAGACACGGCCCAGACUCCUACGGGAGGCAGCAGUGGGGGAUAUUGCACAAUGGGGGAAACCCUGAUGCAGCGACGCCGCGUGGAGGAAGAAGGUUUUCGGAUCGUAAACUCCUGUCGUUAGGGACGAUAAUGACGGUACCUAACAAGAAAGCACCGGCUAAACUACGUG
rnacentral:rRNA from 1 species